GGGAACAUGAAAAUGACUUAGAUACGAACUCAGCCGUCAAAAGAGCAUCCAAUCUAGUUUCAGGACUCAUUUGUAGCGAUUCAGGUAGCUGCUUCAAGAGUUCUUGUUUGUCUGUGUCUGCUCUGUACCUGGAAUUUGACCCAUCUGCUGCCCGUACAAGCUUGCAGUUUUG
rnacentral:lncRNA from 1 species